AUGUCUGCAAGCACUGGCGCAGCCUCAUCCACGACGCCCGCUUCCUCUUCCGCUUCCACGAGUUCCACCGGGGGACUCCUCCCGUGCUCGGCUUCUUCAGCAACCAGCCAUCGCUUCCGUUCUUCUUUUCCAUCACCAACACCUUCGCGGGCUCCGCUGUUGGCAAGAUUGACCACGACUAUUUGUCGGUCUUGGACUGUCGCCACGGUCGUGCCCUCCUGGAAUGUAAGUGCUGCAAUGAGCUGCUCGUCCUGGACCUUGUGA
rnacentral:rRNA from 1 species